GGCAUACUUAGUACGGCGAGUGAGCGGUAAAAGCUCAAAUUUGAAAUCUGGUACUUUCAGUGCCCGAGUUGUAAUUUGUAGAAUUUGUCUUUGAUUAGGUCCUUGUCUAUGUUCCUUGGAACAGGACGUCAUAGAGGGUGAGAAUCCCGUUUGGCGAGGAUACCUUUUCUCUGUAAGACUUUUUCGAAGAGUCGAGUUGUUUGGGAAUGCAGCUCAAAGUGGGUGGUAAAUUCCAUCUAAAGCUAAAUAUUGGCGAGAGACCGAUAGCGAACAAGUACAGUGAUGGAAAGAUGAAAAGAACUUUGAAAAGAGAGUGAAAAAGUACGUGAAAUUGUUGAAAGGGAAGGGCAUUUGAUCAGACAUGGUGUUUUUUGCAUGCACUCGCCUCUCGUGGGCUUGGGCCUCUCAAAAAUUUCACUGGGCCAACAUCAAUUCUGGCAGCAGGAUAAAUCAUUAAGAAUGUAGCUACUUCGGUAGUGUUAUAGCUUUUUGGAAUACUGUUAGCCGGGAUUGAGGACUGCGCUUCGGCAAGGAUGUUGGCAUAAUGGUUAAAUGCCGCCCGUCUUGA
rnacentral:rRNA from 1 species